ACAUUUAUACAUAGAAGCGCUGUUUCGUAUUCUUGCCGCAUGAGGUCACUAAAGUCAGUUUACGGUUUGCUCUUGGCUGUUGUAGAUUCUUAACCUCGCUUAUUUACUCAUAGGAGAAAAGAGUAGCAUUGAAUUACAUUAUUUAACUAAUCAGACAGUUUUUCUUAAUAUUUCUGUCUAUUAUCUAGGAUUGUAGUGCCGGAUUAAAGAGCGGGAGUAAUUCUUGCCAGUCUUCUCUUAUUAUUUAAAUAGAAUUCCUUCUGUUUAUUUCACAAAACCACGUGAGAAACUCAGCCACAAAGUGACAUUCGUCUAGCUUUACACCUAUCAAAAAAUGAAUAGAGCUAAGAGGAAGUUAUCUCAGACUGUUGAAAACACAAGAAAGAAGAAUGUGGACACCUUUCCAUUUCACAGUCAACCUGGUCCAAGCAGACAAAUUGUAGAUAUAUCACAACUUGACGAUGAAGAUAUCAUACAUAAAAAACAGUCACAUAGUUCAAGAGACAUAUCGACACAGAAAAUACAGGAGGAAGAAGACAUGCAAAUAAUUAGUAGAGUAAUAAAAUAUCUACUCAUGGCAAAUGGAACAAAACAUCCAAUACCAAAGACCCAUAUUAUUAAACACAUACUGGGUAGUACAUACUCUAAGAAAUAUCUUCAAAUCAUGAAAGAAGUAGAGUCACAAUUAUCCAAGAUAUUUGGAUACAAAUUGCUGCUGGUUGAAGAAAAUAAAUAUAUAAUGGUGAAUGAGAUAAGCAAUCAUCUUCCACAUCUCAAUUUCAAAAAAAGCACACAAAUUUUGUUGUUUCUUAUACUUGUACAUAUUUUCAUGUUUGGUGAAUCUUCGAAAGAAGAGAUAUUGUGGGACUUUCUUCGCAAUCUAGGCAUCAUAACUCGCGACAACUAUAUACACGAGUACUUUGGUGAUGUUAAGCAGUUGGUGACAGUUGACUUUGUAAACCAGAGGUAUCUACAGAAAGUAAUGAUAGAUAAAAAUGAUUCGACAAAGAUCGAGUACAAGUGGGGUUGUCGUGCACUGAAUGAGGUCACAUACCGUUCUGCUUUGGAGUUUGUUGCAAAUAUAUAUGAUGUAUCUUCUGUGGACAAGUGGAAGUUGCAGUACAAAGCUGUGAUGGAUCAAGAACAAAAAACAAAAGUACGACAAUCAUAAAAGACUGCCAGCAUUCGAAGAACAUCGCGUAUAAUAUUAUUCCAGUGAACGUGAAUCUCUGAGAAUCCUAUUCGGCCGGCGAGUAGUCAAAUUUCCCCCGGACGGAGUUACUGGGCCACGUCCGUACAUUUACCUCAGCUUUUACGCCCUUAUGCAAGCAACGGCGAGAAGCAGCACAGGGAGGAGGGUGAUUGCGUGCGCGACCCUUCAUGUUCGCGCGUCUCACCGCGCCGCACCGCCGAACGGAAUCUGUGUCGCGCCAGGUCGGUCGCGGUCGCCUGGAUCGGCGGCGCGCCACUCCUGUCAGUGUCCACCCAGCCUCGCUGCUCGGCGGCCGCCGAGCGCCGCUCGCUCGCCUACGCGUGUCUGCCUCGUAGGUCGUCGUCGUCGUCGUCGUCGUCAUCGUUGCCGUCGUCACUACCACCACUACUACCAUCAUCACCACCAACACUACCACCGUCAUCGUCGCGUCGCCACGCGACGCGUCGCGAUUCUCAUCGCGGCGAA